rnacentral:rRNA from 1 species
UACGUAGGCAGCGAGCGUUGUUCGGAGUUACUGGGCGUAAAGGGUGUGUAGGCGGUUGUUUAAGUUUGGUGUGAAAUCUCCCGGCUUAACCGGGAGGGUGCGCCGGAAACUGGGGUGCGUGGAGUGUGGGAGAGGUGAAGCGGAAGUUCCCGGUGUAGCGGUGAAAUGCGUAGAUAUCGGGAGGAACACCUGCGGUGUAGACGGCUUACUGGACCAUAACUGACGCUGAGGCACGAAAGCGUGGGUAGCAAACAGG